CAGCCGCCGCGGUAAUACGUAGAGUGCAAGCGUUAAUCGGAAUUACUGGGCGUAAAGCGUGCGUAGGUGGUGGUUUAAGUCCGUUGUGAAAGCCCUGGGCUCAACCUGGGAAUUGCAGUGGAUACUCGAUCACUAGAGUGUGGUAGAGGAUAGUGGAAUUUCCGGUGUAGCAGUGAAAUGCGUAGUGAUCGGAAGGAACAUCUGUGGCGAAGGCGACUAUCUGGGCCAACACUGACACUGGGGCACGAAAGCGUGGGGAGCAAACAGGAUUAGAUACCCGGGUAGUCCCUGUCUCUUAUAC
rnacentral:rRNA from 1 species